rnacentral:lncRNA from 1 species
CUUUUGAGGGAGCAGCUCGGAUGGUGGCGUAACCUCGCAGGCCCUGGGCAGGGGCUCCGGGGAAUUCCUGGCCAAAAGUACUUUAAUCAGCAUUUAAUGACCCAGUCGAAAAUUCAUUGUUUGGACCCAAGCACUGGUGGGAAAGGCAGGAGGGGAGGCCUGCCUUCCUUCCUCCCUCCCGAGCCCUACAGCAGGCCAUGGAGUGGUGAGCGAGUUCGUACAGUGCCAACCACAUUCCCAGAAACUUCCAGCAGAGGUUAAUCCUGCUCCUCUCAGGUGGGCUUGGCCCAUUCUCUAGACUUUGGAAGGUAAUGUUCUAUAGAGGCCUGUUCUGAAGCUUUACCAGGUCAAACCGGAGAAGAACCCAACAAGUAACUCAUCCCAGCCUAACUAUUCUUCAAGGGCAAUCAACCUACAGCAUCCAAGCACAGAGAAAUCAAAUCCAUGGAGAAUCUUCAAAUUAGGCUCAGAAUCCAUUUGGGUCAAUGAAUUUACUGUUAUUAAGAUCUUAGUUGUGUUCAACCAUGAUUUGACAUACCUUAGAGUGAGAAGAUAUUCUUCCUGGCCUCAGACUAGUUGAAGGUAGAGAGAGAGACAGGCCCUUGGGUGUGGGGAGACCUCUCCUGGGAUAAUACACACAAAAAACCAAGAGCUGCUCACUGUGGUGCAGGAGACAGCAGGGCCUGAAGCCAGAGGCUCUGUGUCCUUGAAUACAAUGUUUUACUCCUCUGACCCCUGUUACUGUGAUUUGGAGAGGCAGACAAUAUAGGAUGGGCUUUGCAGGCAGGGAGGUCCAGUUAUAAUCCCAGCUCUUACUAAGUUGGGUAAGACUCACUCUGAGACUUAGUUUCUUCUGUCAUCUCUCAAUAGAAUCAUAAAGGUACUUUCCUCUUAGUGUUGUUUUAAAAUUCAGUAAAAUAAUGCAGGCUUAGCACAGGGUCUGAUGUAAAUUUUCAAUGAAUUAUCGUUGUCAAUAUUGUUCUGGAAAACAAGAGGGCAUAUUAGAAGAUCAAAAGUACUGCCAAGCAUUGAAGUGCCAAUUCUAGAUCCAGUCUCAGCCCUCUGAGAAUGGAUAUCAUUGUUUUCAAGCCAUUCAGAAACCAAUGUGAAUUGAACACCUAGUAUGAGCUCUCUGAGGGAAGAGCCAAGUCAUGCAUUUUUUAUCUUAAGGGGUCUUCAAUACCUCUAGCCCAAAACAGUAUCUCCAUCAGGAUUCUUCUCUGAUAGUGUUCAUUUCUUUUUUCUCAAUGGAUGCCUUAAAAAAAAAAUCCUACAAGGAAACCUGUACUCCUCAAAUACACCACUCAGGUGACCAUUAAAUCAUUUACAUUGUUAAUUUCUUUUCAGAUGUGUGUCUUUUUCCCUAGUUACAUCAUCAGGACCUUGAAGGUAGGGACAGGUCUUAGAUUUCUUGAUGCCCCCAUAAAUCUAGGUACAGAGUAGGUCUCUGGACAUCAGUAUAAGGCCCAUGAGCCUGAUAGCUGCCCAGGUGGGUGCUGUGUGCCUGGGCGUGGGAAGGACAAAAGAGAGGUCACUAAAGGGGUUCCUGGGAAGGAAGAGCCCCUCUGACUUUAAAAGGGAGCCCAUACACUUUUUGGACAACUGGAAUAAUCAGAAAGCUGUUUUUGGGGAGGCAGCAGCCAGAAAAACCUGGGGCAUUGGGUCAACCAAAGCCCUUCCCAAGGCUGCAGUGGCUGCAGCUAGUUAGCCCAGCUUCCCUACCAGCCCCAGGGCUGCAACUGAACAGUGUUGGCUUCUUAAUAAAAACAG